rnacentral:ncRNA from 1 species
UCGUAACAAAUAGCGCCAGAACUCGCAAGCGGGACGGAAAUGUAGGCCUUUAAGGCUGCUACUACGCGGUGAGUUGACGAGGUGAAGGUGUUCGAAACAUUCGGCGGGGACCUUCCGGCACGAGGAGUGCCGUUAAGUUGGAGAGCAAAAUCGUUCGGGCGACCGGGCAGACAAGUAUCCAACAUCUAUUAAC